GGGCCUGACAUUCCACGAACCUGACUGAGAGGGUUGGGUGCCGAAAGGAGCGUAGAGACCGGUGCUGCAUGGCUGUUGUCAGCUUGUGGUGUGAGAUGGUGGGUUAAGUCCCGUAACGAGCGCAACCCUUGUCCCUAGUUGCCAACCUGUAAUGGUGGGGACUUUAAGGAGGCUGCUGGUGAUGAACCGGAGGAAGGCGGGGAAGACGUCAAGUCAUCAUGGCCUUUAUGAGUAGGGCUCCCCCCGUGGUACAAUGGGACGUACAGAGGGUCGGGAACCUGGGAAGGGGAGCCAAUUUCAGAAAGCGUGUUGUAGUCCGGAUUGGCGUGUGCAAAUUGACUCCCUGAAGUCGGAAUCGCUUGUAAUCGCGAAUCAGCCAUGUCGCGGUGAAUACGUUCCCGGGCCUUGUACACACCGCCCGUCACAUCACGAAAGCCGGCUGUACUCGAAGUCGCUGAG
rnacentral:rRNA from 1 species